GUUGAACGCUGGCGGCGUGCCUAAUACAUGCAAGUCGAGCGAACAGACGAGGAGCUUGCUCCUCUGCCGUUAGCGGCGGACGGGUGAGUAACACGUGGAUAACCUACCUAUAAGACUGGGAUAACUUCGGGAAACCGGAGCUAAUACCGGAUAAUAUAUUGAACCGCAUGGUUCAAUAGUGAACGACGGUUUUGCUGUCACUUAUAGAUGGAUCCGCGCCGCAUUAGCUAGUUGGUAAGGUAACGGCUUACCAAGGCGACGAUGCGUAGCCGACCUGAGAGGGUGAUCGGCCACACUGGAACUGAGACACGGUCCAGACUCCUACGGGAGGCAGCAGUAGGGAAUCUUCCGCAAUGGGCGAAAGCCUGACGGAGCAACGCCGCGUGAGUGAUGAAGGUCUUCGGAUCGUAAAACUCUGUUAUUAGGGAAGAACAAAUGUGUAAGUAACUAUGCACGUCUUGACGGUACCUAAUCAGAAAGCCACGGCUAACUACGUG
rnacentral:rRNA from 1 species